AUACUUACCUGGCAGGGGAGAUACCAUGAUCAUGAAGGUGGUUUUCCCAGGGUGAGGCUUAUCCAUUCCAUUGCACUCUGGAUGUGCUAACCCCUGCGAUUUCCCCAAAUGUGGGAAACUCAACUGCAUAAUUUGUGGUAGUGGAGGACUGUGUUCGCACUCUCCCCUA